rnacentral:rRNA from 1 species
AGUGAACGCUGGCGGUAGGCCUAACACAUGCAAGUCGAACGGCAGCACAGUAAGAGCUUGCUCUUACGGGUGGCGAGUGGCGGACGGGUGAGGAAUACAUCGGAAUCUACCUUUUCGUGGGGGAUAACGUAGGGAAACUUACGCUAAUACCGCAUACGACCUACGGGUGAAAGCAGGGGAUCUUCGGACCUUGCGCGAUUGAAUGAGCCGAUGCCGGAUUAGCUAGUUGGCGGGGUAAAGGCCCACCAAGGCGACGAUCCGUAGCUGGUCUGAGAGGAUGAUCAGCCACACUGGAACUGAGACACGGUCCAGACUCCUACGGGAGGCAGCAGUGGGGAAUAUUGGACAAUGGGCGCAAGCCUGAUCCAGCCAUACCGCGUGGGUGAAGAAGGCCUUCGGGUUGUAAAGCCCUUUUGUUGGGAAAGAAAAGCAGCAGGUUAAUACCCCGCUGUUCUGACGGUACCCAAAGAAUAAGCACCGGCUAACUUCGUG